UAACACAAGCACACACAGGUGCGCCCAGGCUGGCGGCCGAGCUUCAGGAAGCGCUGGUUCUGAGUGAGGCCGUGCGGGCGCUGGGCAACACAGCCGGGCCCUGGCCGAGGACCACAGGUCGCCCACCAGGCCCUGCACCAGCAGAGCUUCAGAGCGGAAGUAUGUGUGACCUACUCGGCUCCUCAUAUCCUGCAAAUGGCACCCGGACCACAAUGAGCAGCUGGGGCCACCUGCCCCAUGGCAUCGCUGUGCCGAGGACACAGAGCGGCCGAUGGGAAUGGGCGAGUGAGCACAUGGUCCAAGGAACGCCCACCCCACUUCUUCGAGUCAGAGGGAGCCUACGCCGAGGUUGGACACGGGUCUGGGGCUCUGCGGGGUCAUCUUGGGGAGCUGCAGGUCACUCCGUGGCUCCCUCUGCUCCCGAGGAGUCCUGGUCGCUGGUGGCUGCCUCCCAGGUGACCUCCUCAUUUCAGCUUCACAGCCCCAAACGGUUUCCCGACUGUUGGCCCAUCCUGAACUGAACGCUGCCUGAGCGACGGCGGAGACUGCAGAGCCAGGCCGCCACCCAUGAGGCUGACGUUCUUCCCUCUACUCCCACCAGACGCCUCCCCAGCUGGUGAGGACGCACAGAGGCCACGGUCUUCCCUCUACUCCCACCAGACGCUUCCCCAGCUGGUGAGGACCCACACGAGGCCACGGUCUUCCCUCUACUCCCACCAGACGCCUCCCCAGCUGGUGAGGACACACACGAGGCCACGUUCAUUCUCUACUCCCACCAGACGCCUCCCCAGCUGGUGAGGACACACACGAGGCCACAGUCUUCCCUCUACUCCCACCAGACGCCUCCCCAGCUGGUGAGGACACACACGAGGCCACGUUCAUUCUCUACUCCCACCAGACGCCUCCCCAGCUGGUGAGGACACACAUGAGGCCACGUUCAUCCUCUACUCCCACCAGACGCCUCCCCAGCUGGUGAGGACACACAUGAGGCCACGUUCAUCCUCUACUCCCACCAGACGCCUCCCCAGCUGGUGAGGACACACACGAGGCCACGUUCAUUCUCUACUCCCACCAGACGCCUCCCCAGCUGGUGAGGACACACAUGAGGCCACGUUCAUCCUCUACUCCCACCAGACGCCUCCCCAGCUGGUGAGGACACACACGAGGCCACGGUCUUCCCUCUACUCCCACCAGACGCCUCCUCAGCUGGUGAGGACGUGCAGCGAACAAAGGAGCUGUGAGCUCCUAAGGAGCCACAGGCUCUCCUCCCCAUGUUGGCCCUUAUUCUGUGCUCUCUGGAUUGUCCCCCAUGGGCUGACCUCCCCUCUGAACCCGGCUCCUGACGGGUGAUGGCUUCAAAGCUCCCUGGUGACGCCGGC
rnacentral:lncRNA from 1 species